rnacentral:pre_miRNA from 1 species
AAAAUACUCCCUCCGUCCGGAAAAACUUGUCCAAGAAAUAGAUGUAUCUAGACUUAUUUUAGUUAUAGAUACAUUCAUUUUAUACAUUUUUAGGACAAGUAUUUUCGGACGGAGGGAGUAGAAA